UCUGACAUGGUGUAGUGGCUAACAUUAUCGCCUUUCAUAGAAAUUGGAGCGCGAUAGCCCGGGGUUCGAUUCCCCGUAUUGGAA
rfam:Sphaerobolus stellatus SS14 unplaced genomic scaffold SPHSTscaffold_219, whole genome shotgun sequence.